CGGGAUAGUGUUAUUGCCCACGCUUUUAAGCGUCGGCAAUAGAGAUUUUUUUAAAAAAAAAAUUCAUAAAAAGAAAUGUGAAACCUGUAUACAAAUUUAUAAAACAAAUUUUUCCAGCACAGCAAACACACAACCUAUUAUUCCAUCACAAAAGUCACAUCACAAACAAAAUUUUUUAUUAAAAGCUAAUCAUAUUAUCAUAUUUGAUUACAUUGUACUUUAAAAAUAUUAAAAACAUACAUAGCAAAUUUCUAAAUAAACAGUCUACGAGGACUCAAGGGUCGACGGCAUCAUCAUCUCUACGAGUAGAAGUAUCAGCAACCUACAAGAAAAAAAAACUUUAGAAACUAAGAAUACAAAAAUCAUUACGCUCGUACAAGAAUAUACUAUAAUUACAUAAAAUAUAGAUUUAUGUAAUUAUUGAUGAUUACAUAAAUCGUUUUCCUCGGGGCAUAUUGUUACCUGGUAUGCACAAAAAAGAAUUAAUAUUAGUUAAUUGAUAAAUUUAUACUAAAUGAAUUGCUAAUAAAAGAGAACACAAUAAUUCAUUCAACCAGAUAAAUUAGCAUAUGCAGGAAAAAGACAAGCAAUAAUGUAGGACAAAGAGUGUGGGGACUAACCAUUUCACAACUAUGAAGAAGAAAGUUGCCAAGAAAAAUAAAUAUCUAGCAACUAAUAAUCCUGUAUCAAGUCUGAUGGCAAAAUCAGAUAGUUAUUAACCAUGCAGCGAAAUAAGGGCAGCUUUGGUUUAAAAGUGAACUAGACCUUAGUCGCUUGCGUAGAAGUAGUAUCAAAGGAUUGUUCUACUUGCCUGUAAAGGAGAAGCAUAAGAAGCUUGUAAACGAGAGUAGAUUUAUGCAAAAUUUACAUUGCAGAGAAAAGUAGGGAGAAAUUGGGAAAAGAAUCAGAUAAUCACAAUGAAUGGCAAAAAUUAUAUAAAAAUGGAUAGGAUAAAAUUAUUACACUACCUUUCCCAUAGACAAGAGAUGAAUAUGCGUUCUUUCUAGACAUUACUGAACCUGAAGCACUGCAUGAUCAAUUACAUGACUGGAGCUAGCAGUGCAAUCAGCAUUGUUUUGGCAUACAAUNNNNNNNNNNNNNNNNNNNNNNNNNNNNAGAAGCUAUAUCACAAGAGAUUUAUCAGAACAAUUUAAAGAAUUUAACGAUGUGGUUCAAAGUUCACUAGUCACACGUUGUAGAGAGACAGCCUUGAAGAAGUUCCACAGUUAAAAGAUGCCUUGAAAGUGGUUGCGUACCUUUCUGCCAUUGAUGCCAUG
rnacentral:lncRNA from 1 species